CCUACGGGAGGCAGCAGUGAGGAAUAUUGGUCAAUGGACGAGAGUCUGAACCAGCCAAGUAGCGUGAAGGAUGACUGCCCUAUGGGUUGUAAACUUCUUUUAUAUGGGAAUAAAAUGUUCCACGUGUGGGAUUUUGUAUGUAUCAUAUGAAUAAGGAUAGGCUAACUCCGUGCCAGCAGCCGCGGUAAUACGGAGGAUCCGAGCGUUAUCCGGGUUUAUUGGGUUUAAAGGGAGCGUAGGUGGAUUGUUAAGUCAGUUGUGAAAGUUUGCGGCUCAACCGUAAAAUUGCAGUUGAAACUGGCAGUCUUGAGUACAGUAGGGGUGGGCGGAAUUCGUGGUGUAGCGGUGAAAUGCUUAGAUAUCACGAAGAACUCCGAUUGCGAAGGCAGUUCACUGGACUGCAACUGACACUGAGGCUCGAAAGUGUGGGUAUCAAACAGGAUUAGAUACCCGGGUAGUC
rnacentral:rRNA from 1 species